rnacentral:lncRNA from 1 species
CUGAAGGAGGGAAUAAUAUGCCCAAUACAUAAAGGGGGAAGUAGAGCAGAUGCCAAAAACUAUAGGCCUAUCUCUCUGACUUCACACAUCAGCAAAGUCAUGGAACGGAUAGUCAGAGGGAAACUAAUCGCAUUCCUUGAAAAAAAUAAUUUGCUAAGUGAUACCCAACAUGGUUUUCGACCAGGUAGGAGCUGCCUAACCCAGAUCUUACAACAUUAUGACUGGGUGUUGAGGCAGUUACUCAACAAAUCAAAUGUGGACGUAAUCUACAUUGAUUUUGCAAAAGCUUUUGAGAAGGUGGAUCAUGGUAUGAUAUGCCACAAACUACGUGACCUCGGCAUAGCUGGAAAACUUGGAGUGUGGUUACAUGACUUCCUGAAAGAUAGGAGUCAAGCAGUGGUGGCUAAUAGAGCCACCUCUAUGAACACACAAAUAGUGAGCGGUGUUCCACAGGGCACUGUCUUGGGACCACUGCUUUUUAUAAUGGCCCCCUCAGAUAUGCCCUCAAAUGCCCGUAUAGCCACUCUGGCAAGCUAUGCAGAUGAUACGAAAGUCUCACAGAAAAUACAGAACCCCAGCGAUGUUGCACACCUGCAGCAGGAGUUGGACUCAAUUUACAGAUGGGCUGAGGAUAAUAAUAUGCAGUUUAAUGCUGAAAGACUCCAGGCCCUGCGCUACCAGCAUCCAAAACUGAAUAUUAAACUUACAGGGUAUACCGGUCCACAGGGAAUUUCACCUAAGUCAGUGAGGGACCUUGGUAUCGACAUGAAUGAUGAUACCUCUUUCCAAGUGCACAAUACCAGGAUGGCAACAAAGUGCAGACGACUGGCUGGAUGGAUCCUAAGAACAUUCAGAACCAGAGAUGAGGAAACCAUGAUGGUCCUCUGGCAUACAUUCGUCCUCAGCCGCCUGGAUUACUGCUCGCAGCUAUGGUCACCCACCAGUGUGAGAUUAACAGCGGACCUUGAAGCAAUCCAGAGAAGAUUCACAAAGAAGAUCGUCUCUUUGCAACAGCUCAGCUACUGGGAAAGGUUGAAACAGCUAAGACUCUACUCUCUGGAGAGAAGACGGGAGAGGUAUGCAGUAAUAUAUGUCUGGACGAUACUGGAAGGAAUUGUGCCAAAUUUUGGCAUUGAAAGCAACACCAAUGCCAGAACUGGACGACACUGCUUCAGGACGAGUUACUGCAACAGCCUGGGUUUCAAGGGCCCACAGCUUUUUAAUAUUCUCCCAAAGUAGAUGUAGGGUUUUUUAAAUCAAAGCUGGACCUCUUCCUGUCGAGAGUCCCAGAUGAGCCUACCUCACGGCAAGAGGUGCAAAUGUGGGUAGCUAUAUCAAACUCCAUUUUUCAUCAAGUGCCACAUAUUAGAGGAGGCUCCUAGUAAUAACAGUGUAUGUACAUACGUGUGUGUGUGUGUGUAUAUAUAUAUAUAUAUAUAUAUAUAUACAUACAUAUAUAUUCUUUUAUUUGUUUCGGUAUCUAUAUAUACUGUGUACAUAUUCUAUCUAUCUCUCGUGUGUAUGUUAUUUGCACACACACACAUGCAUGUAUGGAAACAGGACAAGCUAACAUAGAAAAAAGGGUCCUUCAUCAGUUUUCGACUGUCUUUCUACUCCUUAUUUCCAGUUUGUACGAAACUAAGGAUUCCAUCAACUGCUUAUCUCUAUACGAAACUAAUGAUCUCAUCCGUUAAUAAUAUGGAAAUUUCGAGCACGAAAUAGAGAACAAUCUAGAUUCACAGCUGUUUUCAAAUCCGGUACUCUGUCGCACAGUAUAAUAUGUUAAACUCAGGUACCUCCGCAACCACAUGGCUCCGUGUUCAACCCCAUUGCGUGGCACACUUGGAUAAGUGUCUUCUAUUAUAGCCUAAGGCCAACAAAAACCUUCUGAGUGGAUCUGGUAGACGGAAACUGAAAGAAGCCCUUCGUAUAUAUGUAUAUGUGUGUGUGAGAUUUUGUCUGUGUUUGAUCCACCACCACCGUAGGUGUUGGUAUAUUUACGUCCCUCGUAACUUAGCGGUUCGGCAAAAUAAGUACCAGGUUUAACAAAAGAAUAAGUACCGGGGUCGAUUCAUUCGACUAAAAAGAAUUGUUCAAGUCGUUGCUCCAGCAUGGCUACAGUCUAAUGGCUGAAACAAGUAAAAGGUAACAGUUAUUUCUGGCGUAAAAUGAAGAAUUCUAAUCGUUUCGUUUGUUUUGAGGGAUUUUCUUCGAAGACUAUUGACUUCUACACAGUCACACAUAUUCUUUGAGAUUCAUAAUAGAGACAGACUCUUCAGGAAAAAAACAAUGCACAUUUGAUUCCAUGCUGCUUUCGACAAAUGGAACGGUUGCAUGACAAUCAAAACAAGAGAAAACUAAUAUUAAUCUAAAUAAUAAUGUACCAAAAAAAAAGGAAUUCAUACGCUUUGUUAUAAAAUUAUAGGUUUUCGUUUACAUAUUGGAUGUCACAGUGUAUAUACAUGUAUAUAUACGUGUGUAUGUAUAUAUGUAUAAAUAUAUAUAUAUAUAUAUAUAUAUAUAUAUAUAUAUAUAUAUAUAUAUAUGCACAUAUAGACAUUCUUUUUUUAUUCUUUUAUUUGUUUCAGUCAUUUGACUGCGGCCAUGCUGGAGCACCGCCUUUAGUCAAGCAAAUCGACUACAGGACUUAUUCUUUUAUCGAACUGCAGAGUUACGGAGACGUAAACACACAAGCAUCGGUUGUCAAGCGAUGUUGACGUGGGGGGAGGCACAAGCAUAUAUACACACAUAUACACAAAUAUAAAAUAUGUAUGUGUAUAUAUAUUUUGUUGUUUAAGAAAAAUGUCCAGGUCCUUGAGUUUUUGUCUAUGUUUUCGUUUCUCCUUGUGUUCGACGUUUUUUUUUUUGGUGUCCUGUACACAUAUAUGCGUGUAUAUAUACAUGUAGAGGUAGGUUCGUACAUAUAUGUAUAUAUAUAUGCAUAUGUUUUAUUUAUUAAUAUAUUAUAUGACGGAACGCACGCAUCCCUUUCUAAGUAAGAUUGUUCUUGUUUUUAAUUUUGAUGCGCACUCUUGACCUUUCUGUCCCAUCCCUUUCUCAGCCUUCAUUCUUUGAUUUCCUUUUCUUCUACUUAACUGUCUUUCCCUCUCUCUCUCUCCCUCUCUCUCAUUCUUCACUCUCUCUCUCUCCCUCUCACUCAUUCUUCAUUCUUUCUGGUUUCCUCACAACCAUUCCCCUUUCUUCUCUCUCUUUCUCUUGCUCCUCCUCCUCCCUCCCGUCGUUGACCGGUGACGAGAGCUCUGCUACUGUCUUUUCUGGCCUGACCUUCUUGAGGUGUGGACGGCAAUUUUCUUUGCUCCCUUCGCCGUUCACAGAUAUCGCGUUCGUAAUACUUUUUUCGUUCGGCUUAACAGCCCUUCUUGUCUUGUUAUUCCCCUUGUCCUGUCUUUUACUGUUUAUAUUUUGUACUGUCGUUACUGUCCUGUUUUUGUUACCAUUUUUACCCCUCUGGAAAAAGAUCUCAAAUUUUAUUUGAUUUGCUUUUCGCAGGAAGGAAAGUUUCUAUCGAAGAUACGUCUCGCCUUCACCUUCGAAGCGUAGAGUAGAUGAAACCAUGGCGACUGAAGAAGGGUAUUGUCCUGUACUCUAUUUUUUGUUGUUUAAGAAAAAUGUCCAGGUCCUUGAGUUUUUGUCUAUGUUUUCGUUUCUUCUUGUGUUCGACGUUUUUUUGGUGUCCUGUACACAUAUACGCGUGUAUAUAUACAUGUAGAGGUAGGUUCGUACAUAUAUGUAUAUAUAUAUGCAUAUGUUUUAUUUAUUAAUAUAUAUAUAUAUAUAUAUAUAUACGACGGGCUUCUUUCAGUUUCUGUCUACCAAAUCCACUCACAAGGCUUUGGUCGCCCCGAGGCUAUAGUAGAAGACAGUUGCCCAAGGUGCCACACACUAGAACUGAACCCAGAACCAUGUGGUUGGGAAGCAAGCUACUUACCAUAUAGCAACUCCUACGCCUUAAAAUAAGUAUACGCAUAUUAUAAAUAUAAUUAUAGGCGCAGGAGUGGCUGUGUCGUAAGCAGCUUGCUUACCAGCCACAUGGUUCUGGGUUCAUUCCCACAGCGUAGCACCUUGUGCAAGUGUCUUCUACUAUAGCCUCGGGCCGACCAAAGCCUUGUGAGUGGAUUUGGUAGACGGAAACUGAAAGAAGCCCGUCGCAAAUAUGUAUAUAUAUAUGUGUGUGAAUGUGUUUGUUCCCCCCACCCCCGACAUCGCUUGACAACCGAUGCUGGUGUGUUUACAUCCCCGUAACUUAGCGGUUCGGCAAAAGAAACCGAUAGAAUAAGUACUAGGCGUACAAAGAAUAAGUCCUAGGGUCGAUUUGCUCUACUAAAGGCAGUGCUCCAGCAUGGCCGCAGUCAAAUGACUGAAACAAGUAAAAGAGAUACCUAUAUAUAUAUAUAUAUAUAUAUAUAUAUAUAUAUUGAUUGAUUGAUUGAUAUAUACAUAUACGUAUGUAUACGUAUACAUAUGUAUGCAUACAAAUAUAUACAUAUAUAUUCAUAUGUAUGUACAUGUAUAAACAUGAUUACUAUGUAUACGGUCAAAUUAUGAAAUAGAUGGGAAACGUUUCCUUUUUGCUUUCAAUUGUUGUUAACCCCUCCGUGGCUAUCCAGCAGACUUUGGUGAAACUUGACACGUGUGAGGGACUUAUGCCCAUGCGGUCACUUACGCACUUGAAAUUUUUUUAAAUCGAUUUUUAAUCAGCAUCGAUUUUUCAAAUGUCGUAAAACUUCGGCAUUUUUUGCACUAGCCGUCAUGACAUCAAUUUGACGAAAUCUCCUCCCAAAGCGUAAAAUUUAGCCAUUUUACGUACAUGCACAAAAAUAACGACGACACGGGUUCGCUACCAGACUCUGCUCAUUUUUCCGUCAAAUUGGUCGUAUAUGGAUUUUACCUUUUUGAGAAAUGUGGAAAUUUGACGAAAAAUAUUUCAUGGCAAUAAACAGACAUUAACGGUAAUUUAUUAUCGGGUACCUCAGCUAGUGUGUGUGUGUGUAUGUAUAUAUUUAUAUAUAUAUAUAUAUAUAUAUAUAUAUAUAUAUAUAUAUAUAUAUGUAUAUAUAUAUAUAUAUAUGUAUAUACAUGGUUAUCAGAUAAAUUCGUUUGGUUUUUUGCGUUUAUUUUUUCCAUUUAUUUUAAACCUUAUUUUUCAUCAGAAAUUUUAACAAAUUAAUCAAUCCUAAAUUCUCCUUCAUUGUCCACGUCCAAGUCAUUCUUGCUUACCAGAAGUUCUUGCUUUCCAAUGCCUUGACGGUGGAAAUCGUUGGCUCGAUGAAUUCACUGAACCACGUUUUCAGCUCCAAAUCUUUGUUUAUCGAAACGCCUCGCAGACUGUUAGGGAGCGACCGAGCGAAGGCAUUCUAUCAGGAAAAUACAAUGGGUUCGGUGGAUCUUCCCAACUGAGCUCGUGUGUAGCAUAUUUGGUUAAAGUAGAGGCGUCGGGGAAAGCGUUUCCAUGUUGAAGAAGCAGACCAAGUUGCCAGUCGGUCGCUUAGACAUUAUCAAUCGAACAAAGGUAUCAUGAGAUCAUCAUAUUUGUUGACCAAGCUUCUAGUGAAUGGACGAAAAUCCCUUCCUUGGAGCAUGGAAACCAUUUCUGUUCAGUUCUCUCAGUAACAGGAUCUUCUCUGUACACAGCACAAAUAUCUCGAAUGGUUUUGACACCAUUGGAACCAUGAUCGAAAGUAAAGAUAUGCAAAUGUCGGAAAUGCUAAUUGAUUUUUCUCUCUCUUGGCAUUCCAUCAUCAUAUGUCUGAAAUUAUGUCUGAGAUGAAAUUUAUUCAAAUUUCAAAAACGAUGGAAAAAAGUUGUAGAGGAAGAAGGGAAUUACAAAAAAAAUCAUUAAAAAAAUUCGAUAAAAAUCAUUUUCGCGUUAAUUCUAAUAACAUUGGAAAGAAACGAAAGAAUUUAACUUACAACGCAAUAUAUGUCGAUAAAGAUUAUAGAUAGAUAGAUAGAUAGAUAGAUAGAUAGAUAGAUAGAUAGAUAGAUAGAUAGAUAGAUAGAUAGAUAGAUAGAUAGAUAGAUAGAUAGAUAGAUAGAUAGAUAGAUCUUAUCGUCCUAUUUUUAGCCUGUCAUAAAAUGUGUGCAGUGCCUGAAGAUUGCACUAAGGCACCAGUCAUGUUAAAAAAUAGUCUGGCAUGCUUUCCUCACAUGAAACUGAUAGUAGCACAUAAAAGCAUAUAUUGUGUUUAUUAAAGAAUAGAUUGAUAGGGGUGGGUGUGCGUUUGCAUGUGUGUGUGCGGGUGUGUAUGUGUGUGUGUGUGUUGUACUACAUUAUAUCUUCGCCCCUUUUUUUCUAUUUUUCUUUCUCAAUUGUUAACUUACCUCAAACUCUUUCCUGUUUUUUUGUUUUUUGUAAUGACUGGUGGUCGGCGUCGCAGUUGUUUACGGUGUGAGUGGUGGCAAUAAUGCUGCUUCUAAGAACAGGUAAGUGUCUGUGGAAUAUUUUGAAAGAAACUAAUUCUUUCUUUUUUAAGAAUAUUUGAAGAUUGUUUCUGAAUUUUGUUCAUUUUUAUGCUUUCACGUUGUCUGCAUGUCUAUAUGUAUACGUAAUUAUACAUAGAUACGUGUGUGCGUGUAUCUAUAUAUAUGUGUCUGUGUCUGUGUGUGUGUGUGUGAUUAUAUAUGUGUGUGUAUGUGUGUCUGUGUGUGUAUAUAUAUGUAUGUGAGUAUAUAUGUGCGUGAGUAUAUAUAUGUGUGUAUGUGUGUGUGAGUAUAUGUAUAUGUAUAUAUACGUGUGUGUCUGUGUGUACGUGUGUCUGUGUGUAUGUGUGUCUGUGUGCGAGAGUAUAUGUGUGUGUGUGUUUGUGUGUAUAUAUGUGUGUCUCUGCGUAUAUAUAUACGUGUGUGUGUUUCUGUGUAUAUAUGUGUGUCUGUGUGUGUGCGCAUAUAUGUGUGUGUUUGUGUGCAUAUAUGUGUAUGUUUGUGUGUGUGUGUGUGGAUUUAUAGAACUUCUCUUCUAGUGUUGUUUUCCUCUUCACAUUUUCCUUUUGCUUUUUUUUAUCUUAUAUAGUUGUUUUCUUGUAUUUUUGUAUUUUCUCUCAAUUUCGUGUUUCUUUUCUUUUCUGUUGAUGUUGUUGUUCUAUUUUGCUCUUUGAGGAGGGGGUGGGGACAUAAUUUUUCUUUUAGUAUUUAACUCUUCUGGAAUGAUAUUUUCAUACUUUUAUCUCAGAAUGCUUUUAAUGGAAAUAGAUAACGUAUAUGUGUGUAUGUGUGUGUGCGCGCGCAUGUCUGCAUAUAUCGAAACAUGCAUCCAGCCAUAUAUAUGUAUAUAUAUAUAUAUAUAUAUAUAUAUAUAUAUAUAUAUAUAUAUAUGUAUAUAUAUAUAUGUAUGUUUGUAUAUAUAUAUGUAUAUAUAUAUAUAUAUAUAUAUGUAUGUAUAUAUAUAUGUAUGUAUAUAUAUAUAUGUAUGUAUAUAUAUAUAUGUAUGUAUAUAUAUAUAUGUAUGUAUAUAUAUGUAUGUAUAUAUAUAUAGGUAUGUAUAUACAUAUAUAUAUGUAUAUAUAUGUAUAUAUAUAUAUAUAUAUAUAUAUAUAUAUAAUAUAUAUAUAUAUAUACUACUGGAUGCAUGUUUAUAUAACCGUACAUGUAAUAUAUACGUAUGAAUACAUUUGUUCUGUGUAUGUGUGUAUGCAUAUAUAUAUACGUAUAUACACAUGCAACGAAAGAGAAAAAUAAAAGGAAAAUAGUAGGUAGGUAGAUAGGUAGGUAGGUAGGUUGGUAGAUCGGUAGGUAGGUAGGUAGAUCGGUAGGUAGGUAGGUAGGUAGGUAGGUAGGUAGGUAGGUAGGUAGGUAGGUAGGUAGGUUGAUAGAUAGGUUGAUAGAUAGGUGGAUAGAUAGAUGGAUGGAUAGAUAGAUAGAUAGAUAGAUAGAUAGAUAGAUAGAUAGAUAGAUAGAUAGAUAGAUAGAUAGAUAGAUAGAUAGAUAGAUAGAAGCGUAUGUUGGUAGGUAGGAAAACGCAGACAGACAAGUAGACAAACUGGCCGGUAAUGGAUAGACUGACGGACAGGUGCAUAGAUGUACAGGUUUGUUCACAAUUACAACAUGAAAUCAUGAACUGACCACCAAGAAAUCGCUAGAUCCACAUCCCACGAGAAUAUGAAAAUAAGUUGCUAUAUAACCCUCCACCUUCAGUACAGCCGUUUCCUCCCCCAAAAUGCAUAUGUUCCGAAUUACUUAGAAAACACUUCCCUCUCCAACAUAAUUACCAUAAACAUUAAAUAAAAAAAAAAGAUCUUAUACUUCGCUGCUUGUAUUUUGUUCGCAUAUUUGCCUCAGUUAAACAUAUUGUAAACACGAUAGGCCUACGACUAAUUCAACUUCUAACAGCUGCGGUUGUAUAAACUGUGACAACCGUCACCUAGAUUCCUGCUACUUACCUAAAUAUAUAAGUUUAUCCCUGCAUUAAAAGGACUCGUGCAUUUAAUUAAUUCAGAGGAUUCACUUCCAAAUGCCCUUCAACGUCAUCACUAUUACUACACCAUGCAUACUGUACGAAACGCGGAAGUAAAAAUACUUUGUUCUUUACCAUUCGUUUAGGAUUUGAAAACUAGAAACAAAAAUCUCAACACAAAAUGUAUUUUCUCUAGAACACAAUAGCAUAAGGGAAACGAAAAUACCAUGCAACUUGUGCACAACAGAAAUCUACGAAGUUUGCCUAUGUUGAUACACACACACACACACACACACACACACACGCAAGAAACAGGCAAUCAAAAGCAACAACGAACAAACAAACCGGUAAUACUGGAUAGUGAACUCCCUUCAUGAGAAACAUGUUUUACGUGUAUGUGUUUGUUGUGUGAGCUUGUGAAUGUGUCUCAUAUUUUAUUAUAUAUAUUUAUAUGCUUGCUUAUAUGUAUGUAUGUAUGUAUGCAUGCAUGUAUGUAUGUGUGUAUAUAUAUAUAUAUAUAUAUAUAUAUAUAUAUAUAUACAUAUAUAUACAACACUAACUCGUCGAUUGAGCAUGAUUUUAGAACAUGGAGCCAUUAUAAUUCAUAAUGAUGAGCUACAUGAAAAGAUUACUAAUGAAUGCUUGCCAAUAGCAAAACAUAAGCCAAAUAUCAGGUAUACCAACAAACCAACAAGCUGAUAUAUAAUAAUAAACUACAUCGUGAAAACUAGUAGUACUCAGCCGUUUUAUACAUUUUAAAUCUGGAGUUGAAUAUUGUUUCAGUUACAAUAGUGUUCCUAUGAUUCUUUCCGAUCUACUGCAAAGCGAGCGAACAUUAGUACCAUCGCUUCAUUCUGAUGAUGAGACCAGGAAGGUCUGGGAAAGGGAAGCGGAAGAAGAUAUGAAAAGUUUUUAACUAAAACCGAUUAAACUCAAGCAGAUCUUUGAUACCACGUGUGUGUUUACAUAUACACACAUACGCAGAAAGUGAUAGAGUAUACCUACAUAUGAAUUCUUUCAGACAGUGUCUCAAAAAAACGUCACCAGUUCCGAAACCUAUAUGUCAAAAGAAUUACAUGGAAGAGGCUAUACCAACACCGCAUGAUUUAUCAUAAAUAUCGCGUACAAUAAAAAAUAGAUCGUUUAUCUUGGCACAAAGUAUCCUAACCGUAGAUUCCACUUCGCCAUCUACAACACAUUAAGCAAUAAUUGCCUUUAUUAAUUACAGAAAUACAAAAGCAGAAUCUACGAUCAAAGACUGCAGAAACUAAAUGUAAAAUCACAAUAACCAGAAGUCAUUUUUAUAGUAAACAUUAGUAACUUUUGAGUACGUUUAAUAAGUACAGAUUCUUAGAAAGUACAACAGGAAAUCAUAAUCUGCUCUUAUGAGAUGUUUCCUAACAAAUCGACCCCAGGAUUUAUUCUUUGUAAGCCGAGUACUUAUUCCAUCGGUUUGUUAGGCCGAACCGCUAUAGUUACGGGGACGUAAACAUACCAACAUCGGUUGUCAAGCGAUGGGGGGAGGGACAAACAUACACACACAUAUAUAUAAUGUCGUUCAAUGCUCAAAAUGAGGAGUAGAUAGACAGC